rnacentral:rRNA from 1 species
AACGAACGCUGGCGGCAUGCCUAACACAUGCAAGUCGAACGAAACCUUCGGGUCUAGUGGCGCACGGGUGCGUAACGCGUGGGAACCUGCCCUUAGGUUCGGCCUAACUCCCCGACAGGGGUGCUAAUACCGGAUAAUGUCUUCGGACCAAAGAUUUAUUGCCUUUGGAUGGGCCUGCGUUGGAUUAGCUAGUUGGUAGGGUAAUAGAUUAACAAGGCAAGGAUUGAGAGCUGGUGUGAGUGGGUGAUCGGCGACACUGGAAGGGAGACACGGCCAAGACUACUACGGGAGGGAGAAGUAGGGAAUAUUCAGAAAUGGGCGAGAGCAGGACGGAGCGAGGAGGCGUGGGUGAUGAAGGUAUUGGGAUCGUAAAACUCUGUUAUUAGGGGAGAACAUAUGUGUAAGUAAAUGUGCAGAUCUUGACGGUACCUAAUCAGAAAGCAACGGCUAACUACGUG